rnacentral:rRNA from 1 species
AGCGAACGCUGGCGGCAGGCUUAACACAUGCAAGUCGAACGGGCAUAGCAAUAUGUCAGUGGCAGACGGGUGAGUAACGCGUGGGAACGUACCUUUUGGUUCGGAACAACACAGGGAAACUUGUGCUAAUACCGGAUAAGCCCUUACGGGGAAAGAUUUAUCGCCGAAAGAUCGGCCCGCGUCUGAUUAGCUAGUUGGUAGGGUAAUGGCCUACCAAGGCGACGAUCAGUAGCUGGUCUGAGAGGAUGAUCAGCCACAUUGGGACUGAGACACGGCCCAAACUCCUACGGGAGGCAGCAGUGGGGAAUAUUGGGCAAUGGGCGAAAGCCUGAUCCAGCCAUGCCGCGUGAGUGAUGAAGGCCCUAGGGUUGUAAAGCUCUUUUGUGCGGGAAGAUAAUGACGGUACCGAAAGAAUAAGCCCCGGCUAACUUCGUG